GAAACACACAACGCAUCCCUUACACACACAUGCAAACACACACUGCUUCUCUUACACACACACACACAGAAACACAAUGCAUCUCUUACACACACUCAACGCACCCCUUACAGACACACACACUGCAUCCCUUACAUACACAGAAACACACUUUGCAUCCCUUAUGCAUACAAAACACAGAUUCACACAAUGCAUCCCUUACACACAACAAGAAACACACAAUACAUCCCUUACACAAACACUCACUGCUUUCUAUCCCUUACACAAAAACACACUGCUUCCACUACACACAAACACACUGCAUCACCUACACAAACUGGUAUCCCUAUACACUACAUUCCAUAAGCACACAC